rnacentral:rRNA from 1 species
GCCGGUGGCCAUGGCUGGGGGGAAAUACCCGUUCCCGUUCCGAACACGGAAGUCAAGCCCCCACGCGCCGAUGAUACUGCCCCAUGGCGGGAAAGUAGGGCGCCGCCGGCU